rnacentral:tRNA from 1 species
ACGUCCUUAGCCCAACGGUAGGGCAACGCACUUUGAAUGCGGGUGUCUUGGUUCGAUCCCAAUAGGGCGAUCCA